GUAAAUGUCAAGAUGACUGCUGCACCACAAUAAAUGAAAAUAAAAAUGAGCACGUCAGCAUCGACCACGACCUACGUGCUAGCCGACUGGCCCAUGAACCCUCAACGUGCACCGUAGGCACUCUACACCGACGGCACAUUGGACUGGACACAUUGAAUUGUGUAAAUCUUGUAUAGUAGCAAUAGCAUAACAGUAAUAAACCAGAUAUCAACCGUC